rnacentral:rRNA from 1 species
UAGGGAAUCUUCCGCAAUGGGCGAAAGCCUGACGGAGCAACGCCGCGUGAGUGAUGAAGGUCUUCGGAUCGUAAAACUCUGUUAUUAGGUAAGAACAAAUGUGUAAGUAACUAUGCACGUCUUGACGGUACCUAAUCAGAAAGCCACGGCUAACUACGUGCCAGCAGCCGCGGUAAUACGUAGGUGGCAAGCGUUAUCCGGAAUGAUUGGGCGUAAAGCGCGCGUAGGCGGUUUUUUAAGUCUGAUGUGAAAGCCCACGGCUCAACCGUGGAGGGUCAUUGGAAACUGGAAACCUUGAGUGCAGAAGAGGAAAGUGGAAUUCCAUGUGUAGCGGUGAAAUGCGCAGAGAUAUGGAGGAACACCAGUGGCGAAGGCGACUUUCUGGUCUGUAACUGACGCUGAUGUGCGAAAGCGUGGGGAUCAAACAGG